AGUGAACGCUGGCGGUAGGCCUAACACAUGCAAGUCGAACGGCAGCACAGUAAGGGCUUGCUCUUACGGGUGGCGAGUGGCGGACGGGUGAGGAAUACAUCGGAAUCUACUUUUUCGUGGGGGAUAACGUAGGGAAACUUACGCUAAUACCGCAUACGACCUACGGGUGAAAGCAGGGGAUCUUCGGACCUUGCGCGAUUGAAUGAGCCGAUGUCGGAUUAGCUAGUUGGGGGGGUAAAGGCCCACCAAGGCGACGAUCCGUAGCUGGUCUGAGAGGAUGAUCAGCCACACUGGAACUGAGACACGGUCCAGACUCCUACGGGAGGCAGCAGUGGGGAAUAUUGGACAAUGGGCGCAAGCCUGAUCCAGCCAUACCGCGUGGGUGAAGAAGGCCUUCGGGUUGUAAAGCCCUUUUGUUGGGAAAGAAAAGCAGCAGGUUAAUACCCCGCUGUUCUGACGGUACCCAAAGAAUAAGCACCGGCUAACUUCGUG
rnacentral:rRNA from 1 species